rnacentral:rRNA from 1 species
GACGAACGCUGGCGGCGUGCCUAAUACAUGCAAGUAGAACGCUGAAGGAGGAGCUUGCUUCUCUGGAUGAGUUGCGAACGGGUGAGUAACGCGUAGGUAACCUGCCUGGUAGCGGGGGAUAACUAUUGGAAACGAUAGCUAAUACCGCAUAAGAGUAGAUGUCGCAUGACAUUUGCUUAAAAGGUGCAAUUGCAUCACUACCAGAUGGACCUGCGUUGUAUUAGCUAGUUGGUGAGGUAACGGCUCACCAAGGCAACGAUACAUAGCCGACCUGCGAGGGGGAUCGGCCACACUGGGACUGUGACCCGGCCCAGACUCCUACGGGAGGCAGCAGUAGGGAAUCUUCGGCAAUGGACGGAAGUCUGACCGAGCAACGCCGCGUGAGUGAAGAAGGUUUUCGGAUCGUAAAGCUCUGUUGUAAGAGAAGAACGAGUGUGAGAGUGGAAAGUUCACACUGUGACGGUAUCUUACCAGAAAGGGACGGCUAACUACGUG